UUAGCUUUAUUUGUCACAUGUACAUCGAAACGUACGGUGAAGCGCGCCGUUUGCGUCAAGACCAACACAGUCCGCGGAUGUGCUGGGGGCAGCCCACCAGUGCUGCCUUGAUUCUGGCGCCAACAUAGCAUGCCCACAAGUUACUAACUCUAACCUGUACAACUUAAUAAGGUGGGGGGAAACUGAACAUACAGAAGAAACCCAUGUGGUCACAGGGAGAGGGGGGAAGUACACACCCCUUAAGGAAUUGAAACUGGAUUUCCGGCACUGUAAAGCGUUUAUGCUAACUGCUACAUUACCAUGCAUCAGUCACAGUCAGUUUUAUGAUCAGUUUUAGAUUAGCUUGCUCUAGAUUUAAUAAGGUCUGCUGGAUUCUGAUGAAAUUCAUCUCAUCACCACCCCCCCCCCCCCACGCUCCAGUACUAAGUUGCCGUUCCCAUCCUGUUGUCUUUAAUGCAGGCUUUCAAGGGGUUAGUUUCCCAACCAUCUACUUCCACCUAGCUGGUGGAAUUGGUCAGGACUCGGAGCUGGAGUUGGCUAGGUUCAAAACAAGGCUAUGAGUUUCAGUGGUAGCUCAGGAGACAGAAGGUUGUGGGUUCAAGACCCACAUCAGAGCUUUCUGCUCUUUGCAGAGACCCACUUCAACACUGAGGAAACGUUGCCCUGUCACUGAAGCCCAGCAUUAGCCCUUGUUGGCUCUUCCAUUACCUUGUGGUCAAAUUACUUAAUCAGGUUCCAGAGUUCUAUUGACCAUGACCCACACACAUUCCACUUCAGAAAAAGGUGCCAGAGAUGAGAAACUGCAUAAUUGGACCAGUGAACAUGGGGUUAUUCUACUUGUGAGCAAAGAUGAUUGCAAAGCCCUUAAGACAUAAGAGCAGAAUUAGGCCAUUCAGCCCAUCAAAUCUGCUCUGCCACUCAAUCAUGGCGAUGUAUUAACCCUCUCAACCCCAUUCUUUUGCCUUCUCCCUGUAACCUUUGAUGCCCUUGCGAACCAAGAACCCAUCAACCUCUGCCUUAAAUAUACCCAAUGACCUGGCCUCCACUGUAGAUUUAGAUUUCCAGGAGAAAAUGCACACUCUUAUGGUAAAUCCGGAUAAUUAUUCCGAAUCUACACCUUCCCAAAAUGUGCUUCCUGUCCCAAAGUCAAGUCAAGUUCAAGUUUUUUGGCAUCUGACUGGACAUGUAUCCAAACAAGUGAAACAGCAUGCCUCCAGACCAUGGUGAACCCACAAAAUAUAUAUCACACACACAGCACACAAACUGAAAUAUUACCUACCGGUAAAUAAGUUACCAUAAAUAAAUGAACAUAACCACAGGUACUCACUUUGCACCAUAACCUAUUGUGUCUGUUGACCUUUCCUGUCUUCUGCCCAAGCACAGACCCUCUCUCUCAUUCACCCUCCCACUGACGCAGUAGCUCCUCUCUCCACGGAUGCCAGCAGGCCUGCCAAGUGUUUCUGGAAUCUCCUCUUUUGGUUUCAGAUUCUGGACCUGUCCCGUUCUAAAUCACGGUACGCUCAGCAUCUGGAAACUGGUUCAAAGCUCGAUUAUUUCUUGGGAAAUUCACCUCUCAAACACAAGUCCUCCUCGGAUUACAAACACACAGUUUAAGGAGACCCUGUACAUAUGAACAACACAUUUCAUGACAUAGGCCGGUGAUAUUAAACCUGAUUCCGAUUCUGAUUCAAUUGACCCACGAACUGCGGGAGAAGACAAGAGCAUCCAGAGAAAGCCCACGCGUACACGGGAAGGACGUACAAGCUUCCUUACAGAGGAUGCCAGAAUCGAACUCCGAACUCCAAUGGCCCCGAGCUGUAUUAGGGUCACACUAACUCCUGUGCUGCUGUGAGCCCCAUGUCCAAGAAAAAGGACUCUAUCAUUUCUAUUGAGCUGUUUUAUAACAUGAGAGUAUUCUACACUUGGUACAAUAUAAACCUUCCAGCCUCUUCUGAUAUCUGUUUGAUGUGAAUUUUCCACGGCUUUUGUACCAAACGGUAAUCAAUGGAACCAGAAAUUAUUCUUAGCAGAUACAGGAAGAGGAUGGCUUUCUUCAUUGUGUAGGAUUUCUCCUGAAAA